GAGUAACACGUGGGUGAUCUGCCCUGCACUUUGGGAUAAGCCUGGGAAACUGGGUCUAAUACCGAAUAUGACCUUACGCUUCAUGGUGUGUGGUGGAAAGAUUUUGCGGUGUGGGAUGGGCCCGCGGCCUAUCAGCUUGUUGGUGGGGUAAUGGCCUACCAAGGCGACGACGGGUAGCCGGCCUGAGAGGGUGACCGGCCACACUGGGACUGAGAUACGGCCCAGACUCCUACGGGAGGCAGCAGUGGGGAAUAUUGCACAAUGGGCGAAAGCCUGAUGCAGCGACGCCGCGUGAGGGAUGACGGCCUUCGGGUUGUAAACCUCUUUCAAUAGGGACGAAGCGCAAGUGACGGUACCUAUAGAAGAAGGACCGGCCAACUACGUGC
rnacentral:rRNA from 1 species